rnacentral:tRNA from 1 species
AUUUAUUUAGUUUAAAAAAAAUUUAAAUUUGUGGAAUUUAAGAUACAGUUUUGUAAUAGAUA